GGAUCAAUACGACGGUCGUGCCUUCGGUACGUACUGGCGUCAUUGGUUUCUCCCUUCUGACGAACCAUGAUGUCAUUAAUUUGGUGUUAUGGGAAGUUAGGACUGUUACUUUGAAAAAUUUUAGAGUGUUUAAAGCAGGCAUUAGCUUGAAUACAUUAGCAUGGAAUAAUGAAAUAGGACGUUCGAACCUAUUUUGUUGGUUUCUAGGAUCAACGUAAUGAU
rnacentral:rRNA from 1 species